GCAUGUCUAAGUACAAACUAAAAUAAAGUGAAACCGCAAAAGGCUCAGUAUAACAGCUGUAAUUUCUUAGAUCAUAUUCCCAGUUACUUGGAUAUCUGUGGAAAAUCUAGAGCUAAUACAUGCAAACAAUACAAGUGCCCGUCAAACGGCUCUUGUGCAGUUAUUAGACAAACCAAUCGACCUUAGGGUUGUUUCAUUUGGUGGAACUCUAGAUAACUUUGCUGAUCGUAUGGCCUUUGUGCCGACGACAGAUCUUUCAAAUGUCUGCCCUAUCAACUAUUGAUGGUAGUAUAGAGGACUACCAUGGUUGCUACGGGUAACGGGGAAUCAGGGUUCGAUUCCGGAGAGGGAGCCUGAGAAAUGGCUACCACAUCUAAGGAAGGCAGCAGGCGCGUAAAUUACCCACUCCCGGCACGGGGAGGUAGUGACGAAAAAUAACAAUAUAGAACUAGUUAACUAUGUUCUGUAAUUGGAAUGAGUUAAUUAUAAAUCCUUUAGCAAGGAUCCAGUGGAGGGCAAGUCUGGUGCCAGCAGCCGCGGUAAUUCCAGCUCCACUAGCGUAUAUUAAAAUUGUUGCGGUUAAAACGUUCGAAGUUGAUUAUUGUCCAGUACGGGUGUAGCACCAUCAAGUAAAUGGUUGCUAUCAUUUCCGAUUACUUGGACUAUAUGACUGAACACAUUAAUGAAUAGCGUGACACCUUUUACUAGGUUACCGUCUAUUUAGUUCAGCUUACUAUUACCUUGAACAAAUUAAGGUGCUCAAAGCAGGCUUUAUAUGCCUUGAAUAUUUUUGCAU
rnacentral:rRNA from 1 species